rnacentral:rRNA from 1 species
UACGUAGGGGGCAAGCGUUGUCCGGAAUUAUUGGGCGUAAAGCGCGUGUAGGCGGCUCGGUAAGUCUGCUGUGAAAGUCCAGGCUCAACCCUGGAACGCCGGUGGAUACUGUCGAGCUCGAGUCCGGAAGAGGCGAGUGGAAUUCCUGGUGUAGCGGUGAAAUGCGCAGAUAUCAGGAGGAACACCAAUGGCGAAGGCAGCUCGCUGGGACGGUACUGACGCUGAGACGCGAAGCGUGGGGAGCAAACAGG